CUACGGUGGCAGCAGUGGGGAAUAUUGCACAAUGGGGGGAACCCUGAUGCAGCAACGCCGCGUGGAGGAUGACGCAUUUCGGUGUGUAAACUCCUUUUAUAUGUCAAGAAAAUGACGGUAGCAUAUGAAUAAGCACCGGCUAACUCCGUGCCAGCAGCCGCGGUAAUACGGAGGGUGCAAGCGUUACUCGGAAUCACUGGGCGUAAAGGACGCGUAGGCGGGUUGGAAAGUCAGGUGUGAAAUCCUACAGCUUAACUGUAGAACUGCACUUGAAACUUCUAAUCUAGAGUAUGGGAGGGGGAGAUGGAAUUAGUGGUGUAGGGGUAAAAUCCGUAGAUAUCACUAGGAAUACCUAAAGCGAAGGCGAUCUCCUGGAACAUUACUGACGCUAAGGCGUGAAAGCGUGGGGAGCAAACAGGAUUAGAUACCCCCGUAGUC
rnacentral:rRNA from 1 species